UUACGGCCAUAUCACGUUGAAACACCAAUUCCCGUCCCGUACAAUCACCGAAGUUAAGAAACGUCCAGCCUGGUCAGUACCUAGACGGGUGGCCGCUGGGGAAUACUAGGUGUUGUAAU